GCGAAAAAGCCAUGGAACUGAAGUGGGCAAAUGUGCUUAUUUUUCCAGGAAAACCUCACUAGAUAAACAUCCUGAGGCUGCAGGCCCUGCUUCUGGCUGGAGAGAACACCCUGGGCAAGGCCAGAAGGAACAGUGGCUGAGGGGAGAGCUGACAGGACGAGGAGAACCGGGGAGGCAGGUGCCCACCAUCAUGGCGGGAAGGCCCUAUAGGAAGAGGGGCCUCUCCUGGAGGAGGAAGGUGCCAAGAAGGCCACACAGGGAGCUGCUGCCCCCUCUCAAGCUCACUGAGAGCAACGUCCUGUCUCAGCCAGAGGCUUGGGAGAAGCGUGGGCUGAGAGGAAGUGCUAGGUGGCAAACCAAGAGCCAAAUAGGAAGUGAGUCUGCUAAGCCGAGCAGAGGGCACGGCGGGGACAGCCCGGGAGACCCUCAAGUGGCCCACCCAUGGGGCCAACUGACCCCAGUGGAACCAGAGCAGACGCCAUGGCCUGGCCACAGGACUCUCCCUGUGUCCUCAAGUCAUCUUCCAGAUGCACCACCAGACCAGCAGGGAGCAGGACUGAUUCGUCCCCAGAUGGGGGAAAUUAGUCAAGAUACUCUAAAAUUAGGGGAUCCAUGAAAGGGCCUGCUGCAAAUACAGGGUGAGGCAGAAUGGUCAUCCAGGUAGAGGGCCCGCCAUCAAGGGGGGAUGCCGGCAGUCCUCAAGUGAGUCCAGGGAACCCGGUGUACCCAAGCCCUUUCAAGGGCUUGGGCCUACAAGGACACGAUUAUUUUCACAAUUCUACUACAAUAUGACCCCUAUAUUCAUGAUCAGUCUCUCAGGGGCUAUAUGAAGCGUGGCACUUGGCAAAUAGAAUGCAAGAGCAGAUUCGAGAAUCCAGCUGUCCUCCAUGUUGCUGACAUGAAGAAACCUGCAAACACGUGAAACGAUGCACCCUUCUCGUUGACUUUGUUGAUUAGAAAGUUGUUGUGGUUUUUAAUAAAAAUGUCAUUUAUGUUAA